CUAUACUCUAUCCACGGAUAGAAGUUAGUAUAGGGCUCUCUCUGUUCCGUAAUCCCAAACAAAUGACAGGGACAAAAACUCAGUGGACGUUAACCAUUUUAAGUCACAAACGAAACUAUGUUUUAAAUGUAUUUCGAAUAGUUUUUAAACAUGUUU